CAUAUACUAUAUUUGUUAUGCAAUAACAACUUUUGAACAAAUAAAAAUGUAUAUAAUAUGAAAUUCAAAUUGUAUUACAACAAUCCUUUGUUUAUAAUACAAAUUUAAUACAAAUCACAAGGCCGCUACCGCUCUUUCCCGUCACCCCCACCAAACUCUGGUCAGAGCUCCGUCACCACCAUCAAACUCCAGUCAGAUAUCCACCACCACCCAACCUUCACCGCCACCCAACCUUCAUUUAUUUGAACAGAGAAUCACCUUCGCAAUCAACUCACACCAGCGAAUCAGUCACCAAACAACCCUCGUCUUAUCCGACGAACUCAUGACGCCGGAGCAACCAGCAAAUUCAAUUAGCCACUCUAUUUCUCCUCUAACACCAAACAACUCCGUCAAAAUUCAAUAAUUUUGGUCAGAUCCGGACAAUUUCGAUCAAAUUUGGUUGCUCUAUUAUAAUUUUGAUGUGAAUGUGGUGGCUGUUGGAGUUGGAGCUCUGACAAUGAUUGUGUUAAAGGGAAAAAAAUGACCAGCGAGUAGUGUUCUACGGAGCAGUGAAAAAAUAAAGAGGCCACUCUAGAGUCGUGAGUUCGCCGGAGAAUAAGAAAAUGACGGAAGCGGAGAGAGCAAAGUUGAGGAGAUACAGUGAAAAAAAAGUGAAGCAUAAUGUUAUUAUUAAAGUCAAAGAUAAGCUAUAAGAGGUGGUUGGGUUGUCUCUGAGGUGAAGUUAAAGAAGGAAACAUCUGAAGUUCGCAGCUCUUCUAUAGAUAUCUCAUUUCCUAUAUCUUCUUUUUUAAAAUUAGGAUACAAGAUUUUAAUUUGUUCUUCUAGAUGAGAGUACUGGAGAUGAUUUUUCCAUUAUUGAUUUUGACUUGUGGCUGGCUUUUUAUGCUGAAAGACUGACAUGACGCAAUUUUCUUUUGUUUUUGGUGAUGACUUUUAUGAGCUAACGUAGUUUAGCCUAUCUGAUUUAGCAGUUGUGGUAUUUCGUAUAUAGAAACAUGAUCUAUUAUAAAUUUCUCUGUUGC